CAGCUAUUAUGUUUUGAGGGCCCCCUCGUUAUUAUAUAGAGCUCUAUUAUUUCAAUAGUCACUCUGUUGUGUUGUGUUGGUGUUGGAGACUAUGGUGCCUGGAAUAGAGUGACUGAACUGAAAAUGGACCACAAAAAACGUUAAAACUGCGAAAUCAAGUGUCUAAGUCUACAAAAUAUCUUUAAGACAAGCUAUCUACUCAAGUCCCCAAGUCAAGUAUCUCCAGCCACGCGAAGAAACAACAUCCUCCUGCUUAAGGACGAGGACACUGGAGGAACAUGCAAGGACUCAUACUGGCACUCCUCACCUGGAUAGGAGGCUGGAAUGGCAGUUGUAUUUUACUGAGCAUUACAAUUCUGUAGUUACUGAGCAAUUAGCAUGCCAUAAUGAUGUGUGGUAACCUCUGACCCCAAUCACCUCUUGUCACAAUACAUGUUGUGAGCCGGCCGGAGACCACUAACGGAACUCUAAUAGAGGAAGCGUCCAGUCUAUACAACGCACUGCUACUACUCAAGUACAAGUCUGCACGAUAUGGAUCAUCUCUCUACGUACUGGCAGAAUUAACAAACUUCCCCCUCCUUAAAGACGAACUACUGUUGGAAUUCCAAGCAUGCAAUGCAGAGCUGAUUAAUUUUAACUCGAACAAACAAACUAUUAGACAUGUACUAAGACUGACUCCUUUAUAGUAUUGAGUCCCACUCCCCCCAUGCAUGUGUCCCCAUGCAUGCCUCUCUGCCAUGCUCACCAGAUUACAGGAAACAGCAAGCCUAUCUACUAUACUCCUACUGCUAUACUCAAGUCAAGUCUCUAUAUCACUGGAAGGAUUUCAAUACAAACAACCUUAAGGACGAGGACAGUGGACGGACAGCGACUGAUACUGGCACUCCUCACCUGGGUUGUACUGCAAGGGUGGAGUUAUAUCCAGCAUUAUAAUAAUAGGCAUCAUUAUUAUUACUGUAUGAGCAUUACAUUACAUGCUGUGUCCUAACCUCCGCCCUAACAAUGUUAUUAUCACAAUACAUGUUCUGGGAGACCACUGGCGGAAUUUGGAGAAUACUAGAGGAAACAACACUAUACAGAGUAUCUACUGCUACUAUACUGAAUUAAGUCAAGUCUGUAUGGAGCAUCUCUUCACCGGCAAUGACUGGCAUUGGUGGAAUACAAUGUCCUCCUCCUUAAGAAAAACUACUACACUCAACUACAUCUCAUCAGUCAUAAUUCAAUCAUCAACUCAUUUUAUUUAUUGGGGGCCCCCUCAUAUUUUCAGUUCUUUUUUCGUUUUAGUUGUUAUAAAUCAUGAAAGAAGAAGAAAAAUGAUCAGGAGGAGGAGUGGUCAGGCCACACCUACAAUGUACAUGUGACCACGCCUCUAAUGCAAGGCCACACCCACCUUUCCACACCUUCAUACAGUACGUAUAACUAUACUCGAUUUCUAACCACCUGGAUUUAACAUAACCUUCAAACCAACUGGAAACUAACAGAACCUUCUAAUCAACUGGACUGGGAUAGCCUCAAUAGAUAUCCCAGAUGGUCCCAUGGGCGGAUGGGCUGGGGGCCAGCGAUGCAGUGCCACAUAUUCGCGACGGUGCUGGCUGUCACACUACAUGGAGGGAGGACUAUCUCUCUAUAGUGUGCAAGAGCACUGCAAACUGAACACACUUUUGUAAUUUCAAUUUCUCAAUGAUAUGCUAUAAUUAAUGUGGUUUUAAAAAU